rnacentral:rRNA from 1 species
AUUGAACGCUGGCGGCAUGCCUUACACAUGCAAGUCGAACGGUAACAGGUCUUCGGAUGCUGACGAGUGGCGGACGGGUGAGUAAUACAUCGGAACGUGCCCGAUCGUGGGGGAUAACAGAGCGAAAGCUUUGCUAAUACCGCAUACGAUCUACGGAUGAAAGCAGGGGACCGCAAGGCCUUGCGCGGACGGAGCGGCCGAUGGCAGAUUAGGUAGUUGGUGGGAUAAAAGCUUACCAAGCCGACGAUCUGUAGCUGGUCUGAGAGGACGACCAGCCACACUGGGACUGAGACACGGCCCAGACUCCUACGGGAGGCAGCAGUGGGGAAUUUUGGACAAUGGGCGAAAGCCUGAUCCAGCCAUGCCGCGUGCAGGAUGAAGGCCUUCGGGUUGUAAACUGCUUUUGUACGGAACGAAAAGACUCUUUCUAAUAAAGAGGGUCCAUGACGGUACCGUAAGAAUAAGCACCGGCUAACUACGUGCCAGCCGCCGCAGUAA